rnacentral:rRNA from 1 species
CCUACGGGAGGCAGCAGUGAGGAAUAUUGGUCAAUGGACGCAAGUCUGAACCAGCCAAGUAGCGUGCAGGAUGACGGCCCUCCGGGUUGUAAACUGCUUUUAGUUGGGAAUAAAAGGGGGCCCGUGAGCCCCGUAUUGUAUGUACCAUAAGAAAAAGGACCGGCUAAUUCCGGGCCAGCAGCCGCGGUAAUACGGAAGGUCCGGGCGUUAUCCGGAUUUAUUGGGUUUAAAGGGAGCGUAGGCCGGCUUUUAAAGCAGCUGUGAAAGUCCGCGACUCAACCGUAAAAUUGCAGUUGAAAAUGGCAGUCUUGAGUACAGUAGAGGUGUGCGGAAUUCGUGGUGUAGCGGUGAAAUGCUUAGAUAUCACGAAGAACUCCGAUUGCGAAGGCAGUUCACUGGACUGCAACUGACACUGAGGCUCGAAAGCGUGGGGAUCGAACAGGAUUAGAUACCCGAGUAGUC